AUCCAACUGAUGAGUCUCAAAUAGGAUGAAACGUGCGUCCUGAAU
rnacentral:hammerhead_ribozyme from 1 species